rnacentral:piRNA from 1 species
UGGUGAAACAAUGUGUUUAACUAUGGUUAC